GCCAUCAUAGCCUGGUUCCCCUCUGUCUCCCUUAAUUCCUGAUUGGCCAGGAGAACCUUGAGAAAAAUAAGUUGAAGAAAAAAAGUGUAUUAACAAUAAGCAAAGCAAAUAGACAUAAUCAGGGCAGCUAGUAACAACUCAAACCAAAUGGGAGAAAGUACAUGUGCAACUCCUUUUUCCAUGAGUUUCCCAGACAUCCUAGGAAGGUUUUCCCUAAAUUGAAGAAAAGGAAUCACAUGACAUCUCUGCAGUUCUUCGAUCCACACAGCACAUCCUCUCAGCCUGGAAUGCCAGAUGGGCCUGGAGGGCCAUCUUGACCAGUUGCAGUGACAGGAGUCAGGACAUGGAGAAGAAGGGGAGAGAGUCUGCAUCUGAGGAACCCAGAAUGACCUGUCCCCUGCCAUAUGCAUCAUGAGGUGACUGACCCCAACAGCACACAGCUUUCCUCCAUAAAAUGUUAGAAACUAUACUGCGUGGUUUAAUUUUCAGCCAGGACAUCUGUAAAGAUUCCUCAAAGAAUUAAAAAAGUUCACUGUGUUCUCCAACUUGGCCGCAUGCAGCUCACUACCAGAUGUAUUCCCUGCAUGAUUCUGCUUUAACAACUAAAGAAAAUAUUGCAAAUGUUUUAAGAUAGAUGACUUAAAGACGCUGCAUCUAUUCUUACAAAAUCGCCAAGGGUGAAUUUUUCACAAAAAGGUCAAUAGGCAAUUCAACUAAGAAAGACAGAUUUCCAAGUUUAUGAAUGAAGAGCUUCAUGGUCACUUUUAGAAAAGUGUUGUGUACAAUUACUCACUAUGCAAAGGAAAAUGUCUUACACAUAGCAAAUUAAUAAUGCUUACAUGUAAGAAGCCUAAUAUAUGGAAUUUAUAACACUGUAAUAGGCAUGAAAAAGGUCAUUGUCUUUGAGGGUACCAUCUAGACACAGUCUUUCUGGUAUAUUUAUAUGUACUUUAAAUGGGAAAUACUCUUUAAAGUCAAGUUGAACAAAAAAUCUGUAAAUCUACAUUCGGUGCCAUAUCAUAAAUAAAAUUGAUGGAGCUUCAACCCUGGCCCCUGGCAAUAUCCAACUAUUUCAUUGAACCUCCUCUUCUGUUUGGUUUUGCCACACCAAAAUCAUUCUACUACUUUAUAAGUUGAUUGCAACCUCAAGUCACCCUAGAACCGGACAUGCCAAUAAAUUGACUUAGUGGACCUUCCAAGGUGACAGUUUUUUGCAGAAAAGAAGGGUUCCG